rnacentral:snRNA from 1 species
CAAAACGUCAAUUGCAAGA